rnacentral:rRNA from 1 species
UACGGAGGGUGCAAGCGUUAAUCGGAAUUACUGGGCGUAAAGCGCACGUAGGUGGUUUGCUAAGUCAGCUGUGAAAUCCCCGGGCUCAACCUGGGCACUGCAGUUGAAACUGGCAAGCUAGAGUAGGGUAGAGGGGUGUGGAAUUCCAGGUGUAGCGGUGAAAUGCGUAGAUAUCUGGAGGAACACCCGUGGCUAAGGCGGCUCUCUAGUACGGUACUGACGCUGAGACGCGAAAAGCGUGGGGAGCGAACAGG